CUCUCUUUUCGGACUCAGCCCGCCUGCACCCAGGUGAAAUAAACAGCCUUCUUGCUCACACAAAGCCUAUUUGGUGGUCUCUUUACAUGGACGCGCGUGAAAUUCGGUGCUGUGACUCAGAACGGGGGACCUCCCUUGGGAGAUCAAUCCCCUGUCCUCCUGCUCUUUGCUCCAUGAAAAAGAUCCACUUACGACCACAGGUCCUCAGACCCACCAGCCCAAGGAACAUCUCACCAAUUUCAAAUCCGAUCUUCUCGGUUUAGCGGCUGAAGACUGACGCUGCCUGAUCGCCUCAGAAGCCCCGUAGACCAUCACGGACGCCGAGCUUUAAGUAACUCUCACAGUAGAAGUCCUGAAUAUAAAACUCAAGGCUAUGAACUGAAUUGUGUUCCCACUGAAUUCAAAUAUUGAGGCCCUAAUUCUUACUGCGAUGGUAUUUGGAGAUGGAGCCUUUGAGAAAUAAUUAGAUGAGUUCAUGAGCAUGGACCCUCAUGAUGGAACUAGUCCCUACGGAAGAAGGAAGGGACACCAUAGCUGUGUCUCUGUCAUGUGAGGACACCAUGGGAAGGCGGCUAUUGGCAAUGCAGCAAGAGAGCCCUCACCAGAACCGAACUUUGUGGACAACCUGAGCUUGAACUUCCAUCCUUCAGAAUUAUGAGAAAAUCAAUUUCUGUUGUUUAAGCCAGUCUAUGAUAUUUUUGUUAUGGCAGGUUAAACUUACUAAUACACUCCUAGGUUUAUUAACAUGGAUCAAAGUUCACUGUAACUUAACUUUAGUGCUUUGAAAGCACUGAAAAUAAACUUAUUCCUUCAAAAACUCUAUUAACCACCAAAAACAUUAAUAUGCUUCAAAUUCCCAUGAAAUAAAUGUAUUAAACUUCAGGAAAACAUGAGGCUUAUUAAGUUAGUGUGUAAAAUUUAAUUAUUUUUAUUAUAGAGUAUAAAACGUACUGUAUAAAUUUUUUUUAAAAGAUGAUAACUUUACAGUCAAAUGGUAGGUUCUGAAAGGAGUUUAAAUAGUACUUUAUGUACUUAGGUAAAUGGUCUCCUCUGGAAAAAAAGAUAUCAGAGUUGAAAGAAAAAAAGUACAUAUACUACAGAAAAAAAUCUACAGACUAAACCAUAAAUUAUUAUUUUAAAAAAUUACUACUAGAGGCAUUAAUUUUAUACUCCUUAUAUUAACUCAGUCUUUAUGUUUGAAAUGAGUCACAAUGUAGUGACAGAAUGACUUUUACCUGCCAUUCUAUGCCAAUUAUUUGGAGUUGUUAGAUGGGAUAAUGGAUGCUUUUGUCUCUUUUGCUCUAAUAAUAGUAAUUUCACAAACUGAAUGCAUGUUUUUAAUCCAUAAUAUUUGGCACAUGAUACCAUUUAUUCAUCACAUCAGUGUUGAAAGAAAUACAUUAUCACAAAUUUACAGAUGAGAAAGAUGCUUAAUUCCAAUUCAUCUGCCUGAUGCCCAUGCUCCUCUCAGUAUACCGCCUAAAUAUUUUUAUUAAAGCUUCUAUUUUCAAGUCUUCGUAAAAUUUGUAAGUGAAAAUUUCUAUAAAAUCUUGAUAUAUAUGUAAAAAUUCACAUAUAUGAUCAUUAUACUAUGGGUUUUAUAAUUAAUGCAUAUAAUUAUACAAAGUGAAGGGAAAAAAUCUAGAACAACAAGGAGGUGGUUACAGUUGCAACAUCAAUAAGAAACAUUUUACCUGGUUUUUAAUGACUAUAUGAUAUGAGUGGUAGGAACACUCACAGAGCAUUUAGGAACAUUUUUCACCCAGAGUUAGAUUAGAAUUUAUAGUGUCAUUCAACUUGGUGUCAUCACUGGUACACCACCUGAACAUGUUUAUAUCCACGUAGAUAAUUUUCUCAUGGUCUUACACAGUUUACUCCUCUUUCUCCAUUUCUUUUUUUCCCUUAAAUUAAUCUUAUCCUAACAUACAGUUAGUAUUAACUAGUAAGCAAGAUAAAUGUGCUCUGCACCAUUAUAGAGCACGAAUAAUUGAA